UCCCACUCAUCGUGGGCAGUUUCUCCAGAGUGCUCCCUUUCGGGUGGCAACAGGAGAUGAGGGUUGCGCUCGUUGCGGGACUUAAUCCAACAUCUCACGACACGAGCUGACGACAACCAUGCAGCACCCCGGCUGGAUCCUGACUUUACAGGUCGUCUCGGCUUUCACCAAUUCUACUUCCAGUCGUUCGAGCCCAGGUAAGGUUUUUCGUGUUGCGUCGAAUUAAACCACAUACUCCGCCGCUUGUGCGGGCCCCCGUCAAUUCCUUUGAGUUUUAGCCUUGCGGCCGUACUCCCCAGGCGGGGCGCUUAAUGCGUUAGCUACGGCACGGAUCCCGUGGAAGGAAACCCACACCUAGCGCCCACCGUUUACGGCGUGGACUAC
rnacentral:misc_RNA from 1 species